rnacentral:tRNA from 3 species
CGGGCUGUGGCGCAGGGGCUUAGCGCACAUGUCUGGGGGGCAUGGGGUCGACCGUUCAAAUCGGUUCAGCCCGA